rnacentral:tRNA from 1 species
GUGCCUGUAGCUCAGUUGGAUAGAGCGUUAGCCUCCGGAGCUAAAGGUCGGGCGUUCGAGUCGCCCCAGGCACG